rnacentral:rRNA from 1 species
AUUAAACGCUGGCGGCAUGCCUUACACAUGCAAGUCGAACGGCAGCACGGGGGCAACCCUGGUGGCGAGUGGCGGACGGGUGAGUAAUGCAUCGGAACGUGCCCUGAAGUGGGGGAUAACGCAGCGAAAGCUACGCUAAUACCGCAUAUUCUGUGAGCAGGAAAGCAGGGGAUCGCAAGACCUUGCGCUUUGGGAGCGGCCGAUGUCGGAUUGGCUAGUUGGUGGGGUAAAGGCCUACCAAGGCGACGAUCCGUAGCGGGUCUGAGAGGAUGAUCCGCCACACUGGGACUAAGACACGGCCCAGACUCCUACGGGAGGCAGCAGUGGGGAAUUUUGGACAAUGGGCGGAAGCCUGAUCCAGCCAUGCCGCGUGAGUAAAGAAGGCCUCGGUUGUAA